GAUGAACGCUGGCGGCGUGCCUAAUACAUGCAAGUCGAGCGAACGGACGAGAAGCUUGCUUCUCUGAUGUUAGCGGCGGACGGGUGAGUAACACGUGGAUAACCUACCUAUAAGACUGGGAUAACUUCGGGAAACCGGAGCUAAUACCGGAUGAUAUUUUGAACCGCAUGGUUCAAAAGUGAAAGACGGUCUUGCUGUCACUUAUAGAUGGAUCCGCGCUGCAUUAGCUAGUUGGUAAGGUAACGGCUUACCAAGGCAACGAUGCAUAGCCGACCUGAGAGGGUGAUCGGCCACACUGGAACUGAGACACGGUCCAGACUCCUACGGGAGGCAGCAGUAGGGAAUCGCCCGCAAUGGGCGAAAGCCUGACGGAGCAACGCCGCGUGAGUGAUGAAGGUCUUCGGAUCGUAAAACUCUGUUAUUAGGGAAGAACAUAUGUGUAAGUAACUGUGCACAUCUUGACGGUACCUAAUCAGAAAGCCACGGCUAACUACGUG
rnacentral:rRNA from 1 species